GACGAACCGUGCGAACGUUGUUCGGAAUCACUGGGCUUAAAGGGCGCGUAGGCGGGCCAGCCAGUCCGGGGUGAAAUCUUUACGGCUCAACCGGAAAAGUGCCUCGGAUACUGCUGGCCUGGAGGGAGGUAGGGGCAUGGUGGAACUUCCGGUGGAGCGGUGGAAAUGCGUUGAUAUCGGAAGGAACGCCGGUGGCGAAAGCGAACGUGCUGGACCUCUUCUGACGCUGAGGCGCGAAAGCCAGGGGAGGCGAACGGG
rnacentral:rRNA from 1 species